rnacentral:lncRNA from 1 species
UGUUCAGUCCUUCUAGACAACUUCCUAAUAAUGUUGCCUUCAAUUUUGUGGUAUAUAUUUGUUGUCAAUCCUAGACAAUUUUCUAAUCUAGUGUUAAUUUUUGCUGUGAAAGAUAAACUAAUGAACAGUUUGUUAGGCCUAGUUAGCAAAGUGUCCCAUUACAGUAUGAUAAUUUGCAACAUGCUGACUACCUCUCCCUUGAAGAAAGUUUUGUUUAAACUAGUAAAUGAACCGCAAGGAAACAUUGUUACUUACAAAUUUAGCUUCAAAUCAGUCUUUUUAUUUCGCAACUCCUUUCACUCAUGCUUUUGUUGGAACUGAAAUUAAUAAACUUAAUACCUUUUAGGUGCCAUAACUGGAGCAGUUACGACUCCUCUUGAUGUAGUAAAAACCAGAUUAAUGGUUCAGGUAUGGUGAAAUUGUCUUCCCUCUUUUAUUAUUUGAAGGAAUUUUUUGGAAGAAAUCCGAAAAUGGAAAUUUGUUAUGAAAUGAAAGAAUAACCACUUGGAGUUGUUAUUUUAGGUAUUGUCCUAGCCAUUAUAUUAUGCACAUUAACCACUUAAAGUGCAUAUAUUAAUCCAUAAGACAAAUAUUAUUAUUAAUAGGAGUUGCUAUUUGUAAUUCUUUUUUUUUUAUUGACAUGUUAUUAAACUUGUGACUUUGGUCUGAAGUGAUAUCUGACAUUAUCUUACUCUCCCUUCUCCCUAUUAGGGAACACAAAAACAUUACAAAGGCAUUUAUGAUUGUGUGAGGACAAUAGUUAAAGAAGAAGGAGCUAAUGCUCUUUUUAAGGUAUGCAUAUCUUUUUAAGUUUAGUGCAACACUAAUAGUUAUUUUCAUUCUUAGGUUUCUUUUAACCAAGCAGCUUUUUAAAAGACUUAAACUAUUUGCAGGGUAUUGGGCCAAGAGUGGUGUGGAUAGGAAUAGGUGGUUCAAUAUUUUUUGGUGUUCUUGAGAAGACAAAGAAAAUUCUUGCUCAGAAGCACCCUCCAAAUGAUGCUCAGGAGUGAGCUUUUUCAAGGCAAGAUUAAGCUGAUGAUGUUGCAAUGCAUCUUAAUCUUUUUAUGAUUGCAUGAAGCCACUUUGUUCAGCUUCUCUCUCCUUCAUCCCUAAAUGAAAACUGCCGUUUACACUAAAUGAUUUGCCAUCACACACAUGGAAAUGACCAAAAUACCGCAACGGUAGUUAACUACUAUUCGCUCCAUGAGAGAAAAUUAAGCAGCGAACAUUAGUUAACUACAGGUGGGGUAUUGAAUGUCAUUUCCAUGUGUUUUUAGCAACCUUUGAAGUGGGAAAAGCAAUCAUCUCUCUAAAUUGUUGCAUUGGGCCUGCAAGGAUUCAGUUUUAGCCUAUUGAUGCCUCAAUUGAAAGUUGGGCUGCAAUCAUAAAGCCUGAAUGAAAUUUGGGCCGGCUGGAGCUUUCUCUGAAAGACUGAUAAUGAUAAAGCACAUGCUGUCACAAAUGUAAAUUUAUUUAUUUUUCUCUAAUCCUUUCUAGAAAAUGAUUUAUUUCCCAUUCAAACACCAAAUGGGGGCAAGAGAACAUGGAUUGGAAGAAGAAAAUGGAAACUCAGAACUUAGGUUCGUUUACUUUCCAUCUAUCAUGUUUUAUUUUCACUUCAGCUAAUAAACAUAAGAGAAUAUUGAUCUAAUAUUCUUCUCAAUGACAACUCAUGAGUUUGUUGAUGAUUAUGUGACCCACUUGGGUUGGCCUGGUGGUAUUGACCUGGGACCUGGGAGUGUGCUCCUCCACGAGGUCUCAGAUUUGAUUCUCUCUAGUGCCAAUUUAGGUAGGCUAAUUUAGCUUCUUCCAAAAAAUAAAAAAAGACUAUUUCCUGUGGUAUCUAGUUCUCUUAUUUUCUUUUAUAUUUUACCCAUGAAACCUUAAUCUUCCAUAUGAUAUUCUCAUCACCUCUUCAACUGUAAUCUCCAUUUUAGACAACAUAAAAUAUAUGUUUUGUACUUUUAUCAAAUGUAAUGCAUUUGAAGUAAUAUUAAGAGGUGUUGAAAUAUUUUCUCUUAAUUUUUCGUCUAUCACUUGAAAUUGAGAUUUCUCAGAGUAAGUGCAUAUACUAAAGAGGAAAAGACUAAUUUUAGUCUGACAAAAUUGUGUGACCUCUGUUGCACCAACACUUCUAAUUGAAGGCGUGCUUCGGUGUCCAUGUGUCGUGUCCGACACUAACAUUUAUGAUUACAGUGAAUUAUGUCAUUUUUAAAAUUUUAUCAUUGUCGACGUAUCAAUGCCAUGUCUGUGUCAUGUUUGGUAUCGGUUUGUGUCUGUGAUUCAUAGGGUGUGAUCCAGUUUGCUCCUUUAGAAAAAUAAAUUGUGAUCCAAACUAUCUAUUUUUAUUAUUGAUAGGGAUUUUUUUUUUUUAAGAAUUUAUUGAUAGGGAUCUGAUUACUCUUGUUUGUCCCGAUUUUGAAAGAGUUUGUUUUUUAGGGAAAAAUUAAUAGUUUGUUUUUUAUUUUUCUCAAGAAAUAAUUGAACAGUUUUUUCUCAAAUACUUAAAUAAGUUUUCAUUUGUUCAUGUGAACUUAGUUCAGUUGAUAGUGACAUAAUAUAUAAAGGGGCUGACGUUCAAACCCAAACAUCCCACUUGUUUACUUUAAAGGUGGACUUCUAAUCACUAGACUACUUGACAAAAAAAAUCAUUUUAAAAUAAACAAUUUAAUUGUGUAAUGAUGUAUUGUCGCGUUAAUUGAUAAAUAUAAAAACACAUGAAUUAAUAUAGGGUGUUGUUAUUUUGUGCCCAUAGGGCACAAGUGAAAGAAUUCAAAAAUUAGAAACUUUUCAUAGAAAACAACAAAAUUUUGACUUUUAAAAGUUGAAUAAAGUUGAAUACACAAUUUUUUAGACAAAUGUUUCUAUUUUAAAUUUCUUAGCAUGUGCCCUUGGGACACAUGUUAUCAUUCUCCAUUGAAGGAAAUGUUAACAAGUUUUUUAGAGCACUUGAUAAAAAGUUUAAAAUGAAAAUUUUAUAUUAUGAUUUGUGUAUUCCCCACAUUAAAACAUCAAAAACAACUUUAAAAGAUAUCAAUGUUUUUAUUUUUUAAUUCUUCACAAGUGCUCUCAUGACACUAAUCAAUAUUAUCUUAACUUUAAAUAUGCAAAUAAAAUAUCAGCUUUAUUAUUUAUUUUUUCAUAAAAAAAAAGGGGGGUUUUGACUGGAGAGGGUCUUUAAAGUCAUGCGGGUAUUUUCCACCAAACUCUCCUACAUGGUAAGUUCAUGGACUCACCCAUCUAGCCAGCCAGCCAUAGUUGAAUAAAAAAAUGUGCAUAAUGUUUUUACCAAAAAACGUGCUGUUCAGCUACCUACCCUGCCACUCUUCCCUUCAUAUAAAACCAUCUCAUUCCAUACAUCUUUCCACUACAACACUCUUCCUUCACCCUUCUCUUUCUUUAAUUACAACAAGUACUACAAACAAAACCAACUGAGACUUUCAUUUGCUACCAAAGAUAUCAAUAUGGUUAGUGUGUCUGAAAUUCGCAAUGCUCAAAGGGCAGAAGGCCCUGCAACCAUUUUAGCCAUUGGCACUGCAAACCCAGCCAAUUGUGUUGAACAAAGCACAUAUCCUGAUUUCUACUUCAAAAUCACAAAUAGUGAACACAAGACUGAACUCAAAGAGAAAUUCCAACGCAUGUGUAAGUAUUUUUUCCCUCUACCUUAGAUACUUUCCAUUUAAAUAUAUUUUGCUAUCUUUACAUUGGUUUCUUAACACCCAAGUUUUGUUGAACUAAUAUCAUCUUUUCAUAAUUCCCUUCAGGUGAUAAAUCUAUGAUCAAGAGGAGAUAUAUGUACCUAACAGAGGAGAUUUUGAAAGAGAAUCCUAGUGUUUGUGAAUACAUGGCACCUUCAUUGGAUGCUAGGCAAGACAUGGUGGUGGUAGAGGUACCUAGACUAGGGAAGGAGGCUGCAGUGAAGGCCAUAAAAGAAUGGGGUCAACCAAAGUCAAAGAUUACUCACUUGAUCGUUUGCACCACAAGUGGUGUAGACAUGCCUGGAGCUGAUUACCAACUCACAAAACUCUUAGGUCUUCGCCCAUAUGUGAAAAGGUAUAUGAUGUACCAACAAGGUUGCUUUGCAGGAGGCACGGUCCUUCGUUUGGCUAAAGAUUUAGCUGAAAACAACAAAGGUGCUCGUGUGUUGGUUGUCUGUUCUGAAGUCACUGCAGUCACAUUUCGCGGCCCUAGUGAUACUCACUUGGACAGCCUUGUUGGACAGGCCCUAUUUGGAGAUGGAGCUGCUGCACUAAUUGUUGGUUCAGAUCCAGUACCAGAAAUUGAGAAACCAAUAUUUGAGAUGGUUUGGACUGCACAAACAAUUGCUCCAGAUAGUGAAGGAGCCAUUGAUGGUCACCUUCGUGAAGCUGGACUAACAUUUCACCUUCUUAAAGAUGUUCCUGGGAUUGUUUCAAAGAACAUCAAUAAAGCUUUGGUUGAGGCUUUCGAACCAUUAGGAAUUUCUGAUUACAAUUCAAUCUUUUGGAUUGCACACCCUGGUGGACCUGCAAUUCUAGAUCAAGUUGAGCAAAAGUUAGCCUUAAAACCUGAAAAGAUGAAAGCCACCAGAGAAGUGCUUAGUGAAUAUGGAAAUAUGUCAAGUGCUUGUGUUUUGUUUAUCUUAGAUGAAAUGAGAAAGAAGUCAGCUCAAGAUGGACUGAAGACCACGGGAGAAGGACUUGAGUGGGGUGUUUUAUUUGGCUUUGGACCAGGUCUUACUAUUGAAACUGUUGUUUUGCGCAGUGUCGCUAUAUGAGGUGCUUAAUUAUUUUAUUUUCAUGAAUCACUUUCAAAUUUGCUUGAUUUUUUGUAAGGAUGAAUAACCUGUCUACAUUCAACAUGUAAUAUCAUAUUAAAAGUAAUAUAAUUUGUGAUUUGUUUUAGAUUCUACUCCAGUUAUUUAUUUGAUAUAUCAUUUAUAAUGAUAAUUAAGAAGUAAAUUGUGUUAACAUAUAAAUGACUGUAAAUUGGAUGACUGUUACAAGUGAAUUUAAAAAGUCCUGUAAUGUAAUGUGUGCACUCUUCUAACUUAAUAGUAUUUGAAACUAAUUUUAAAUAUCUGUACACUGUACUAUGUUUUAUUUUGAAACAACAAAAGAUUUUAUUACUCUAAACAGAAACAAUCCAAUAGCAAUGUAGCAUAAGGUGUACUUUGUGAACAAACCAAGUGCAAAGAUACGCAACAAAAUAGAACAGAAAAAGAAAAGAAAAAAAAAAAACUAAAUCCAUCCAAACACACCACUGCCGGCAUCAUAAAGAAAAACCAGCAUCCUGUAUUAAAAUACAAUCCACGCCCUUAUGAAAACUCACAUGAACCUGACCACCUUAACACCUUUAAUACAAGAACAUGAUGUCACCACUGCAAUCUUCAAAAUAAUUCAAUACUCUACCCUUAAUGUUGCAAACGGUCUGCAACAUGCAUCACAGAAUCCACCAUAAGUGACAUCACCAAUCAUUUGAUGAUGCAAUUUAAGGUUUCAAUGUUUAACAGUAAAAAUUAACAAACCGACAAUAUAGUGCUUUGCAAAUUUUUUACUUCUGAAUGUGAGAGUUUUAGACACCCAAAUUCUAUGUAACCCCAAGUUAUGCAGAUCAUAAAUUCAUAUGAUGAUGAUGAUCUGAACAAUCCUUGAGAGAGCAUAUUGAGAAAAAGCUCAAGAAUGUUGAGGUAAGGGUUAUGCAGAAUAGACUUAUAGCAACUCAAAUUUUCUAAUAUUCCCUAUUUCAUCACAUCAAAUGAGUGUUCUUUUACCACUCAACGCAAACAUAUUCUAAAGGAUAACGCUAAUGAAAUUGAAAAUCUUGGCCAGUUUCUUAUACUUUUCAUUUUUUCUGUGUUGAUUUCCUCUCAAGGACAACGGUAUUUAGUAUCUGCGGAAAUUUACAAUGAAAAUAUUUUAAUUUAUUUGCACAUAAAAAAGAUUGAUUUUCUUUUCUACCCAAAUUAAUAUACAACAGAAUUUGAUACAAAUAAGUGUAUAAUAUGCAUUCCCUGUGUGUUGAAUUUAAAGCCCUAAGUUUUGCAGGGAUUCACAUUAUUCGAAUAAUAGGGUGUCUAAAUGUCCUAAAAAUUUUCCUUAAAAAAAAUGUCCUAAGUUUUGAUUUUUAUGUAAAUAUAUAACUUUUUUCCUUUUUUGCUCAACAAUUGUUUUAUUCUUGCCACCAUAUUGCCAUUCAAUAAUUUAGAUGACUUAUGCUUUUUUUUUUGACAAGAGACUUAAGCUAUGUUUGGAUACCAGUGGAAUGAGAAGGAAUAGAAUAAAGUUGAUGAACGAAACUAAAUGGAAUAAAGACACAAUUUCAUUGUUUGAACAUUUUGAUGAUGAAAUUGAGAAGACUAGUUUCAUCUAAUUUCACUCAAAUUAGAGGGCAAGUAAAAGAGGGUAUUAUAUAGGCAAAUAUGUGAAUAAUUCUGUGCACAUUAUGAAAUAUGAGUAGAUAAUCGCUUUUCUCAUACACAAUGCCCUAUAUGUAUAUAUGAGUAGAUAAUCGCAUCGAAAAAUAUAUUAUCCUUCUUUCUGCUACUAUAUAGCUGUAUUAUAUAUGUUCUCUUUAUAAAUAAAAUGACGUCAAAGUCCUGGUCACAUAUUAAUUCAGUCAUCGGUGCUCUCUCCUACAUUCUUCUUCGAACCAAUAUUUCACAGUAAUCAUUGAAUUUUUUUGAAAAUACACUUUUAGUAUUUUAAAAUAUUGUGAAGUAAUUAAAAAUACACUUUUCAAAUUAUUUAUUUAGAUUUAAAGCAGAUAAGCAGAAACAGCAUACCUUCACAAGGCUUGCAACAAGAUUGAGCAUACUCAUUUUGUUGUAUUUCCAAAGAAUAGGAAGCUGCAUAUAACAUAAGUAAAAAUUCCCACAUCUUAAUGAUUGUUUCUGGCAUAGUUGGAUCAAAGUUCUUGCAUUACUCAGAAUGUCCUUCUCCUUGAACUUUUAGGGAUAUUAUUAUUUUGUGGCUUCUCUUCUGUUUUUAGCACAUGCUUGUUUCAAGAGAGUCAUAUUUUUACCAGUUGGGCAGUAGUUGUAGACAAACUAUCUAUUUUUAUUAUUGAUGGUAAUUCAUGUAGGAACCAAAUUGUCCCAAUUUUUUUUCUCCAGAAAUUAAGAGUUGUUUUUUAUUUUUCUCAAGAAUCAAAUUGAACGGUUUAUUCUCAAAUACUAAAAUAAUUUUGCAUUUUAAAAUAAAGAAUUUAAUUAGUAUACAUUGUCGAUGUAUUAUCAUUUUACACAUACAUUCAAUCAUAUAUGUUGACACGUCAAUUAUUGAAUAUAAAGCACAAGAAUGAUCAUACUAAUUAAUUGAUGUGGCGAAACAUGUGUAAAAUAAUUUUUAAAUAUAGCUCAAGUAAAAUAUCAGUUUUCUUCCUUAAAAUAAUCAUUAAAAAAGGGGAUUUUGACUGGAGAGGGUAUUCAAAGUCUCCUACAUGGUAAGUUCAUGGACGCACCCAUAUAGCCAGCCAGCCAUUGUUGAAUAUUAAAAUGUGCAUAACGUUUUACUCAAACACGUGAUGUUCAGCUACCAACCCUUCCACUCAUUCCUCCAUAUAAAACCAUCUCAUCCCAUACCAUCUUUCCACCACAACACUCUUCCUUCACCCUUUCUCUUUCUUUAAUUACAACAAGUACUACAAACAAAACCAACUGAGACUUUCAUUUGCUACCAAAGAUAUCAAUAUGGUUAGUGUGUCUGAAAUUCGCAAUGCUCAAAGGGCAGAAGGCCCUGCAACCAUUUUAGCCAUUGGCACUGCAAACCCAGCCAAUUGUGUUGAACAAAGCACAUAUCCUGAUUUCUACUUCAAAAUCACAAAUAGUGAACACAAGACUGAACUCAAAGAGAAAUUCCAACGCAUGUGUAAGUAUUUUUUCCCUCUACCUUAGAUACUUUCCAUUUAAAUAUAUUUUGCUAUCUUUACAUUGGUUUCUUAACACCCAAGUUUUGUUGAACUAAUAUCAUCUUUUCAUAAUUCCCUUCAGGUGAUAAAUCUAUGAUCAAGAGGAGAUAUAUGUACCUAACAGAGGAGAUUUUGAAAGAGAAUCCUAGUGUUUGUGAAUACAUGGCACCUUCAUUGGAUGCUAGGCAAGACAUGGUGGUGGUAGAGGUACCUAGACUAGGGAAGGAGGCUGCAGUGAAGGCCAUAAAAGAAUGGGGUCAACCAAAGUCAAAGAUUACUCACUUGAUCGUUUGCACCACAAGUGGUGUAGACAUGCCUGGAGCUGAUUACCAACUCACAAAACUCUUAGGUCUUCGCCCAUAUGUGAAAAGGUAUAUGAUGUACCAACAAGGUUGCUUUGCAGGAGGCACGGUCCUUCGUUUGGCUAAAGAUUUAGCUGAAAACAACAAAGGUGCUCGUGUGUUGGUUGUCUGUUCUGAAGUCACUGCAGUCACAUUUCGCGGCCCUAGUGAUACUCACUUGGACAGCCUUGUUGGACAGGCCCUAUUUGGAGAUGGAGCUGCUGCACUAAUUGUUGGUUCAGAUCCAGUACCAGAAAUUGAGAAACCAAUAUUUGAGAUGGUUUGGACUGCACAAACAAUUGCUCCAGAUAGUGAAGGAGCCAUUGAUGGUCACCUUCGUGAAGCUGGACUAACAUUUCACCUUCUUAAAGAUGUUCCUGGGAUUGUUUCAAAGAACAUCAAUAAAGCAUUGGUUGAGGCUUUCGAACCAUUAGGAAUUUCUGAUUACAAUUCAAUCUUUUGGAUUGCACACCCUGGUGGACCUGCAAUUCUAGAUCAAGUUGAGCAAAAGUUAGCCUUAAAACCUGAAAAGAUGAAAGCCACCAGAGAAGUGCUUAGUGAAUAUGGAAAUAUGUCAAGUGCCUGUGUUUUGUUUAUCUUAGAUGAAAUGAGAAAGAAGUCAGCUCAAGAUGGAUUGAAGACCACAGGAGAAGGACUUGAAUUUGGUGUUUUAUUUGGCUUUGGACCGGGUCUUACCAUUGAAACUGUUGUUUUGCGAAGUAUCGCUAUAUGAGGUGCUUAUUUAUUUUAUUUUCAUGUAUCACCUUCAAAUUUGCUUGAUUUUUAUGUAAGGAUGAAUAACCUGUCUACAUUCAACAUGUAACAUAAUAUUAAAAGUAAUAUAAUUUAGUGAUUUGUUUUAUAUUCUGCUCCAGUUAUUUAUUUGAUAUAUCAUUUAUAAUGAUAAUUAAGAAGUAAAUCGUGUCAACAUAUAAUUGACUGUAAAUUAGAUGACUGUUACAAGUGAAUGAUAAAAGUAGUAAUGUAAUGUCUUCUAACUUAUAGUAUUUGAAACUAAUUUUAAUUAUCUGUACACUAUACUAUGUUUUAUUUUGCAACAACAAAAGAUUUUAUUACUCUAAACAGAGACAAUCCAGUAGCAAUGUAGCAUAAGGUGUACUUGGUGAGCAAAAAACCAAGUACAAAGAUUCACAACAGAAUAGAACAGCCAAAAAAAAACUAGGUCCAAACACACCACUGCCUGCAACAUAAAGAAAAACCAGCAUCCUUGAUUGAAAUGCAAUCCACACCCUUAUGAAAAUUCACAUGAACUUGUCCAAAUUUACACCUUGAAUACAAGAACACACCAAUUCAUGAUAUCACCACUGCAAUCUUCAAAACAAUUCAACACUCUACCCCUAAUGUUGCAAACGGUCCUAAACAUGCAUAACAGAAGCCACCGUAAGCGAUGUCACCAAAGAUGGUUCGGCUUGAAGAAGAAUUGAAGAGAUUGGUCAGGCUUGAACACUUUUUCGAGAAUGCUGAAGGAUAAUGAGUCAAGUUUAUGCAGGUUCGUAUAGAGUUGAAGAUUGUUCUCAAGGCUAGAGCCAAAAUAUUGCCUGCAGUAACUCUCUUGCUUGAUCUCUCACCUUUCUAUUGUUGAGAUGUAAUAAUUGUUACUUAUCUUGUUUCUGUAUUUCCAAGGCUGAUAAAGCACGUGCUGUCACAAAUUUUUUGAGAAUGUCGACAUUCUUUUCACUGCAACUAAAAAUGUAUUCUUCUUAUCUUGUCUUCUAUCUUCUUCCUAUACCUUGGACUCUUCAUCUUUUACUUUUUUUAGAUGAAUUGAAGCUUGCAGGAUACUCCAAGCAUCGAGAUGUACCUGUAUCGGAUGCCGACAACCUCUAGGCUCCAUGUAACCAUCUCAUUUGGCUUCGAGCUGGAUUAAGGUUCUAAUAGUUUCAGUUGCAAUUGCAAACAACAUGAUCUUUUCGCACCAAGCAAUGGGGAUGCCGAAAACCUCUAGGCUCUAACCACACACUUUUCAUCUUACAUACCUAGAGCUCUUCUUGGGACCAUUUAUAAAACUUUGUUGCAGUAAAUUGAAGGGAGCUAUCAUGAGUUCCUGAGCAAUAUAUUUGAGACGCGUGUAUAUGUUGUCAUUCAUCCUCCUUCCAUUGACAACUGAUCCUGAGUUGUUGAUGAUUAUGUGACCAUCUUGUUCAACUCUUCCCUGUAGUAUAUGGUUCUCUUAUUUUCUUUUAUAAUUUACCCAUGAAACCUUAAUCUUCCAUAUGAUAUUAUCGUCACCUCUUCAAACUGUAAUCCUCCAUUUUAUCACAUUUAAUGCAUUUGAAGUAAUAUUAAGAUGUGUUGAAAUAUUCUCUCUUCAUUUUUCGUCUAUAACUUGAAAUUGAGAUUUCUCAGGGUAAGUGAAUAAAAUAGAGGAAAGACUAGUUUUAGUCUCUAACAAAACUGUGUGACCCAAUUUGCUCUAGGAAAAAUAAAUACAAAUUUGAGUUCCUAAACAAUGAACUACAAAACUAGGUGCCUAAACCAUCGUCAAUAAAGAGACAAUUAGGUGCCUAACAAUAAUUAAAAAGGGGUGACUUGGUCCAAGACAAUAAUUGGAAAAGAGAUAAUUUAGUCCUACAAAAGAAAAUGUCCCUAAAUAGUUUAUUUUUCAGUAAAUCACUUAUGUCCUUUUUUUUCUUUAAUGUUCAAGCAAUAUAUAUAUAUACACACACACACAUACCCACCAUUGUAACUAUGAACUACCUAACAUGAAUUUUAUGGUAUGUUUUGAUGGAGGAUUUUGGAGGAGACGGAAGGGGUUAAUUACUUUUCUUUUUAAAUUAAUGCCACUUAAAAUGUUUUUAGAAUUUUUUUUUAAUUAGCAAAAUUUGUUAAAACUACCCUAGCAAGACUGGAGGGUAUGGAAUAUAUAGGCAGAAGAACACCCUUUCCCUGCACAAGACUAAAAGCUUAUGACCACCCCAAGCACCAAAACUGACUUAGACUCAAGUUAUGAGCCUGUAGUCCUGUAUAACGGCACCGAAUUACAGCGCCAUAGCUAAAUCUAGUCAAAGACAGCGCCUCAUCCAAAGACAAUGACCCAAAAAACUCCGUAGGACCAACCCCAAUCCAACCGGAAAAACAGCAGCCAAAAAACAGCAAACCAUAUAGCACCAUGCGCCACACUUACUCCAAAAAAGGCCAAAGACGACAGCAGCACCCUAAACCUUCAAAAAAGACCACCUGUCAACUGUCCAAACACACUUAGAAAUUAUUUAAUUGUGAUUGAAUUAUUAUUAUACGAUCAUUUAUCAUAUUGUUAUUUCAAUUUUAUUAAAAUAUUAAAUAUAUAUCAAAAUUGACGAAUCAUGGGACCUCUUAAGAAAUCUCAGCACCAUGUCCAGCGAUCCCUGGUGCAUAAUUGGCGACUUCAAUGACCACCUAUCUCCGGAAGAUAAACGAGGUGGCCCUUCUCGUACUGCCUGGCUCAUUAGAGGAUUCCAACAGGUGGUCACCGACUGUAAUUUAUAUGAUCUACCUCUUCUUGGCUACCAAUUCACUUGGUUCAAAAGUAUCGGCACCGCUUCUUCGAAGGAAGCCCGUUUAGAUCGUGCUCUUGUUACUUCCUCCUGGCAUGAUCUCUACCUGAAUGCAACUCUGCAAACUCUUAUGGCUCCAAUCUCUGAUCAUACUCCUCUUUUGCUUCAAUUGGACCCUGUUCCCUGGCGCACACCACACUACUCCUUUCGUUUCAACAAUUCCUGGCUUCUGGAACCGGAGCUCAUCAAUCUCAUUCAAAAUAAUUGGGGAUUCUAUACUUCCUCUAAUAUUAUUACCAAAUUCAACUACUGUGUGGAAGAUAUCUCAACUUGGAGCCGAGAAGCUGCACCAAAUUACAGACAUCUAAUCCGGAAACAACGCGAAAAAAAUAGAAGAGUUCCGCAAUGCUAUGUGUGAUGGUAACGACCCGCAAUUGGAAAGUAUGCAGAAAAAUCUCGCUUCUUUAAUUCUACAAGAGGAAACUUACUGGCAUCAACGUUCUAAGGUCUAUUGGUUAGUAGACGGACACUAAUAGCAAGUUCUUCCAUGCCUCUGCUUCGGCCAGGAAAAGGAAAAAUACUAUUACGCAACUGCGUGACUCUUCAGGUAAUUGGAUCACUUCGCAAGAGGAUCUUUGCGCCCUUGUUCGUGAUUACUUCACCUCCAUAUUCUCUUCACAACAUGGAGAUUAUCAUAGCAUCAUUUCCUCGGUCCACUCAAGGGUAACAGAUGACGACAAUACCUUGCUCACCCGGCCUUUCUCUGAAAUUGAAUUCAAGGAAACAAUUUUUAGCAUGCAUCCAGAUAAGUCUCCCGACCCUGAUGGACUUAAUCCAGCUUCCCUUGAGCCUAGCUCUUUGCCCAUAGAACUUAACGCCACGAAUAUUGUUCUAGCGCCCAAGAUAGACACCCCUGAAACUAUGAAGGACCUCCGUCCUAUAUCCUUAUGCAAUGUGCUCUACAAAGUAAUCUCCAAGGUACUCGCCAACCGCCUCCGUCCUCUCAUUAACAAAUGGAUCUCACCAGAACAGUCUGCCUUUGUUCACUCUCGUUCUAUCAUGGAUAACGCUUUAACAACAUUUGAGACUCUCCACCAUAUGCGUUGCAAAAGGAAAGGAAAAAUUGGUGAAGUUGCUUUGAAGUUAGACAUCUCUAAGGCUUUUGACAGUGUAAGUUGGUCCUACCUUGAAGCUAUUCUUUCCAAGAUGGGGUUUAAUGCUAAAUGGAUUUCUUGGAUGAUGAUGUGUAUUACCUCUGUCGAGUACCACAUCAUUUUUAAUGGUGAUCGCAUCGGUCCUAUUACUCCCCAACGUGGUCUGCGCCAAGGAUGUCCCCUCUCUCCUUAUCUCUACAUUUUAUGUGCCGAGGGUCUAUCAUCGAUCAUAAAAAAUUAUGAGCUUCGUGGUAAACUACAUGGUUCUCGUGUGUGUCAAACUGCUCCUCCCAUUAGCCACCUCCUAUUUGCUGACGAUAGCUUCCUCUUUUGCAAAGUAACAAUCUCGGAAACACAAAGCCUAAAUGAAGUUCUCUCCCAUUAUGAAUCAGCAUCAGGGCAAGGAAUUAACUAUGGAAAAUCUGCCAUCGCCUUUAGCGCAAAUACGGAUUCUGGUGUUAUCACAAACAUUUCCUCAUUACUUGGUGUUUCUAACACAAUUGGCUCCGGGAAAUACUUAGGCCUUCCGUCUAUGGUUGGUCGUAGUAAGAAAGCAAUCUUCUCUUAUCUUAAGGACCGUAUUUGGAAAAAAUGUCAAGCGUUGAGUGCUCGAUCUCUAUCACGUGCCGGUAAAGAAGUCUUGAUCAAAUCAGUUUCCCAAGCCAUACCUUCUUAUUGUAUGGGUGCCUUCCUUCUCCCUACCUCUCUUUGUGAUGAGAUUGAAAAAAUCAUGAACUCCUUCUAUUGGGAUAAGUUAACUCUCCACAAAAGUUUGGGAGGCCUCGGCUUUCGAAACAUGGAAGCUUUCAAUUUAUCUAUGCUUGGUAAGCAAAGUUGGAAACUCCUUUCAGAUUCGUCUUCUCUACUUACACGAAUUCUCAAAGCUAAAUAUUUCCCGCGAAGGGAUUUCUUGGAUGCCCCUCUCGGCCAUAAUCCAAGCUACACCUGGAGAAGCCUAUGGAGUGCACAACAUUUACUUACCUUGGGACAUAGAUGGAAGAUUGGUUAUGGUUCAAGAAUUAAAGUGUGGAGCACGCCUUGGCUGCGAGACCUUCCGACCCUUAAACCAUCUACUCCUCCUCCACCAAAUUUUGAGGAUUUAACUAUUAACCACUUAAUGCUACCGGACCUCUCUUCUUGGAAUUAUAACCUCGUCCAAUCAUUGUUUAAUCCUAGCGAUGUUGUUGCAAUAUUAUCUACUCCACUCUAUAAUAGACGUAGAGAAGAUACUUGCAUUUGGAAGGCUACGGUUGACGGAUCCUACUCCGUUAAAACGGCCUACCGCAUCUGCACCGACAUUCUUAGUGAAGUAUCGCCGCAACCGAACUCAACACAAUGGCAGCUCCUUUGGCGCCUUCGUGUCCCUCCUAGAGUACGAGCCUUCCUUUGGCGCGCAGCUCACCAUUGUCUACCUACAAGAGACAAUCUAUCCAAGCGUGGUAUCCCUUGUUUAGAAACUUGUGUAUCUUGUGAUCUUCUGGCUGAAUCCCAUAUGCACUUAUUCUUUGUUUGUCAUAAAGCAAUUGCUUGCUGGGACCUCCUUGGCAUAGGUAGCAUUAUUCAAGAUUUACUCUACGGGGCCGAUUCAUUUCAACAAAUGCUUUUUGACUUGUUGCAUAAACUUCAUGAUCAUCAAAGACCAUUAGCAGCUCUUAUCAUUUGGAGCUUGUGGAAGAGUAGAAACUUGUUACUUUGGGAAGACAACGGCACUACUCCAUCUCUCACAGUAACUCGCGCCCAAGAAGUGCUUCAUGAAUGGAGUUGUGUUCAAAAGGCCAAACAUCCAGAUCACCGCGUCGAGCAACACCCUACCUGGGAAAAGCCUCCUCACGGCACAAUCAAGUGCAAUGUCGACGCAACCCUUCUCAAUGGUAACUCGGUAAUGUGUUAUGGUUUAUGCUUCCGCGACUCUUCUGGAAACCUUCUCUUCGGCAAGUCAGACUUCAAACUUUUGUCGGCUACUGUUUUGGAAGCUGAAGCUAUAGGUCUCUUGGAAUCUCUCAAAAUGGCCAUCUCCAAAGACCUUCGCCAUGUUGCAUUUGAAACAGAUAAUAAAAUUUUGGUUGAUCUACUAGGAAACACCGCUCUCCCCCUUAAUGAAAUUGGUGAUUUAGUUUCAGAAUGUAAAACUCUCUUGUUAAAUAAUCCCGACUAUAUAGUGUCGUUUGUUAGGAGGCAAGCAAAUAGUGUGGCUCAUAACAUUGCAAGAGCUGCAAUAAUUUUGCCUUUGCUCAAAAAAAAAAAAAGUAUAUAUAUAUAUAUAUAUAUCAAAAUAUAGGCUUAUUCCUCCAUAUAUAUCUCCUCCAAAACUCAACUUCCAAACAUACUUUUUUUUUUCUGUUCUUUUUUAGAACUAUCAAGUGUUAAGGAUCUUUUUAAAAUUUUCAAUGUUAAAAAAACAUAGAUGGUAGACUUUUAUGUUGUUAGGUACCAAACUAUCUAUAUUUUUCGAUAGACGAAAUGACAAAUAAUCAUUGAAACUCUCACACACAUAAGUGAAGAGGCUGAGAUCCAAACUCUAAUCACAACGUCUGGCCUUGCAAUUGGACCAUUUUACUAGUUGGGCAGUACUUAUAGACAAAUUGUCCCAUUUUUAUUUUUUUUUAGUAAAAAUUGUUCAAAAAAUUUUCUCUCCAGAAAUUAAGAGUUAUAUUUUAUUUUUCACAAGAAUCAAAUUGAACUGUUUAUUCUUAGAUUCUAAAAUAAAGUUGCAUUUCAACAUACAUAAUUUAAUUAGUAUUCAUCAUUUUACACAUAUAUUCAAUCAUAUAUGUUUGAUACAUCAAUUAUUAAAUAUAAACACAUGAAUGAUGAUAUUAAUUAAUUGAAGUGACAAAACAUGUGUAAAAUCAUUUUUAAAUAUAUGUGUAUGGUAAUUAAACUCAAGUAAAAUAUCAGUUUUCUUCCUUAAAAUAAUCAUUAAAAAAGGGGAUUUUGACUGGAGAGGGUAUUCAAAGUCUCCUACAUGGUAAGUUCAUGGACGCACCCAUAUAGCCAGCCAGCCAUUGUUGAAUAUUAAAAUGUGCAUAACGUUUUACUCAAACACGUGAUGUUCAGCUACCAACCCUUCCACUCAUUCCUCCAUAUAAAACCAUCUCAUCCCAUACCAUCUUUCCACCACAACACUCUUCCUUCACCCUUUCUCUUUCUUUAAUUACAACAAGUACUACAAACAAAACCAACUGAGACUUUCAUUUGCUACCAAAGAUAUCAAUAUGGUUAGUGUGUCUGAAAUUCGCAAUGCUCAAAGGGCAGAAGGCCCUGCAACCAUUUUAGCCAUUGGCACUGCAAACCCAGCCAAUUGUGUUGAACAAAGCACAUAUCCUGAUUUCUACUUCAAAAUCACAAAUAGUGAACACAAGACUGAACUCAAAGAGAAAUUCCAACGCAUGUGUAAGUAUUUUUUCCCUCUACCUUAGAUACUUUCCAUUUAAAUAUAUUUUGCUAUCUUUACAUUGGUUUCUUAACACCCAAGUUUUGUUGAACUAAUAUCAUCUUUUCAUAAUUCCCUUCAGGUGAUAAAUCUAUGAUCAAGAGGAGAUAUAUGUACCUAACAGAGGAGAUUUUGAAAGAGAAUCCUAGUGUUUGUGAAUACAUGGCACCUUCAUUGGAUGCUAGGCAAGACAUGGUGGUGGUAGAGGUACCUAGACUAGGGAAGGAGGCUGCAGUGAAGGCCAUAAAAGAAUGGGGUCAACCAAAGUCAAAGAUUACUCACUUGAUCGUUUGCACCACAAGUGGUGUAGACAUGCCUGGAGCUGAUUACCAACUCACAAAACUCUUAGGUCUUCGCCCAUAUGUGAAAAGGUAUAUGAUGUACCAACAAGGUUGCUUUGCAGGAGGCACGGUCCUUCGUUUGGCUAAAGAUUUAGCUGAAAACAACAAAGGUGCUCGUGUGUUGGUUGUCUGUUCUGAAGUCACUGCAGUCACAUUUCGCGGCCCUAGUGAUACUCACUUGGACAGCCUUGUUGGACAAGCACUAUUUGGAGAUGGAGCUGCUGCACUAAUUGUUGGUUCAGAUCCAGUACCAGAAAUUGAGAAACCAAUAUUUGAGAUGGUUUGGACUGCACAAACAAUUGCUCCAGAUAGUGAAGGGGCCAUUGACGGUCACCUUCGUGAAGCUGGACUAACAUUUCACCUUCUUAAAGAUGUUCCUGGGAUUGUUUCAAAGAACAUCAAUAAAGCAUUGGUUGAGGCUUUCGAACCAUUAGGAAUUUCUGAUUACAAUUCAAUCUUUUGGAUUGCACACCCUGGUGGACCUGCAAUUCUAGAUCAAGUUGAGCAAAAGUUAGCCUUAAAACCUGAAAAGAUGAAAGCCACCAGAGAAGUGCUUAGUGAAUAUGGAAAUAUGUCAAGUGCCUGUGUUUUGUUUAUCUUAGAU